rnacentral:rRNA from 1 species
AGUUUGAUCCUGGCUCAGGAUUAACGCUGGCGGCGUGCCUAAUACAUGCAAGUCGAAUGGUUAGCUUGCUAACCAUGGCGAACGGGUGAGUAACACGUAGGCAACCUGUCUAAGAGACGAGGAUAACCAUUGGAAACGAUGGAUAAUACUGGAUAGGAUAUAAUAAGGCAUCUUGUUAUAUUUAAAGAUUUAUCACUUUUAGAGGGGCCUGCGGCGCAUUAGCUAGUUGGUGAGGUAGGGGCCCACCAAGGCGAUGAUGCGUAGCCGGACUGAGAGGUUGAACGGCCACAAUGGGACUGAGAACGGCCCAUACUCCUACGGGAGGCAGCAGUAGGGAAUUUUCGGCAAUGGAACGAAAGUCUGACCGAGCAACGCCGCGUGAACGAAGAAGUAUUUCGGUAUGUAAAGUUCUUUUGUUUGGGAAGAAAAUAAAUUGACGGUACCAAACGAAUAAGCUCCGGCUAACUACGUGCCAGCCGCCGC